CGCAAGGAACGCCGCUGAAAGGGGGAAGGAAUGGCAGCGGAAAAAGUUUAAGAAGCCCUGGACCAGGUGACCUGAGUGCCUCUCUGGCUCUCGAGCUAGGAUCCUGUGAUCUUCAUAAUAAUUCAUAUUUCUAUAACGCUUUAAGGUUUGCAAAGCACUUCGUGAACAUUAGCUCAUUUGGUUUUCACAGCCCUGGAAGCAUUAUUCUGAAGACAGCCCAUUGCAGAAGCUUGAGGGAAACCACACGGAUGAAAAUCCAGCAAAGAUACCUGAGAAGGAGUGGGCAGAGACGCAGGAGGAUAACUAAGUGAGAGAAGUAACAAAAACCCAGAGAAGAGAAAGUAUCCAGCAGGUGGUCAAGAGUAUCAAAGGCUACAGAGGGGUCUCCAUCAUCAUUAGUCACCCAGCUUUAGAGUUUCAGUAUCAUCUGUGAUCCCUCUCAUCCCAUAUGUCCAAUCCAUUGCCAAAUCGUGUUGUUUCUAUCUUCACGUCUCUCAUAAUGUUGCCUUGUCUCUAUUCAUACAACCACAACCCUGGUUCAGACCCUGAUCGCCUUUUGUAAUGGACCACUGCAAUAACUUGCAAUA